GAUGAACGCUGGCGGCGUGCCUAAUACAUGCAAGUCGAGCGAACAGACGAGGAGCUUGCUCCUCUGACGUUAGCGGCGGACGGGUGAGUAACACGUGGAUAACCUACCUAUAAGACUGGGAUAACUUCGGGAAACCGGAGCAAAUACCGGAUAAUAUAUUGAACCGCAUGGUUCAAUAGUGAAAGACGGUUUUGCUGUCACUUAUAGAUGGAUCCGCGCCGCAUUAGCUAGUUGGUAAGGUAACGGCUUACCAAGGCAACGAUGCGUAGCCGACCUGAGAGGGUGAUCGGCCACACUGGAACUGAGACACGAUCCACACUCCUACAGGAGGCAGCAGUAGGGACUCUUCCGCAAUGGGCGAAAGCUUGACGGAGCAACGCCGCGGGAGUGAUGAAGGUCUUCGGACCGUAAAACUCUGUUAUUAGGGAAGAACAAAUGUGUAAGUAACUAUGCACGUCUUGACGGUACCUAAUCAGAAAGCCACGGCUAACUACGUG
rnacentral:rRNA from 1 species